rnacentral:tRNA from 1 species
GCCUGAAUGGCUCAGUCGGCUAAGCGUCUGACUCUUGGUUUCAGUUCAGGUCAUGAUCUCACAGUUUGUAAGUUCAAGCCCUACUUCGGGCU